GAUGAAGAACGUAGUGAAAUGCGAUAAGUAAUGUGAAUUGCAGAAUUCAGUGAAUCAUCGAAUCUUUGAACGCACAUUGCGCCCGCCAGUAUUCUGGCGGGCAUGCCUGUUCGAGCGUCAUUACAACCCUCAGGCCCCCGGGCCUGGCGUUGGGGAUCGGCGGAAGCCCCCUGCGGGCACAACGCCGUCCCCCAAAUACAGUGGCGGUCCCGCCGCAGCUUCCAUUGCGUAGUAGCUAACACCUCGCAACUGGAGAGCGGCGCGGCCACGCCGUAAAACACCCAACUUCUGAAUGUUGACCUCGAAUCAGGUAGGAAUUCCCGCUGAACUUAAGCAUAUCAAUAAGCGGAGGA
rnacentral:misc_RNA from 1 species